AUUGAACGCUGGCGGCAGGCCUAACACAUGCAAGUCGAACGAGUGGCGGACGGGUGAGUAAUGUCUGGGAAACUGCCUGAUGGAGGGGGAUAACUACUGGAAACGGUAGCUAAUACUGCAUAACAUCAGAUGUGCCCAGAGGGUAUUAGCUUGUUGGUGGGGUAACGGCGCACCAAGGAGACGAGCCCUAUCUGGUCUGAGAGGAUGACCAGCCACACUGGAACUGAGACACGGUCCAGACUCAUACGUGAGGCAGCAGUGGGGAAUAGUGCACAAUGGGCGCAAGCCUGAUGCAGCCAUGCCGCGUGUAUGAAGAAGGCCUUCGGGUUGUAAAGUACUUUCAGCGGGGAGGCGUUACCCGCAGAAGAAGCACCGGCUAACUCCGUGCCAGCAGCCGCGGUAAUAC
rnacentral:rRNA from 1 species